rnacentral:rRNA from 1 species
GAAUCAUCGAGUCUUUGAACGCAAACGGCACCCUUCCAGUCCAUUCCAAAGCGGUGGCUGAGGAUGAAGACAAGGGUAUCUCUGUCUGAGGGUAAUGG